AGGACGAACGCUGGCGGCGUGCUUAACACAUGCAAGUCGAGCGGUAAGGCCUUUCGGGGUACACGAGCGGCGAACGGGUGAGUAACACGUGGGUGAUCUGCCCUGCACUCUGGGAUAAGCCUGGGAAACUGGGUCUAAUACCGGAUAUGACCUGCUCUCGCACGGGGGUGGGUGGAAAGAUUUAUCGGUGCAGGAUGGGCCCGCGGCCUAUCAGCUUGUUGGUGGGGUAAUGGCCUACCAAGGCGACGACGGGUAGCCGACCUGAGAGGGUGACCGGCCACACUGGGACUGAGACACGGCCCAGACUCCUACGGGAGGCAGCAGUGGGGAAUAUUGCACAAUGGGCGAAAGCCUGAUGCAGCGACGCCGCGUGAGGAUGAAGGCCUUCGGGUUGUAAACCGUCUUUCAGCAGGACGAAGCGUGAGUGACGGUACCUGCAGAAGAAGCGAACCGGCUAACUACGUGCCAGCAGCCGC
rnacentral:rRNA from 1 species